UCGUGUCGCCUACUACUCUCGCAAACGAGGGCGACGCCGUGUGUUUUUUCGCGCGCUCAUAUUACACUUGCAUGUACCAUCUUCUUGUGUCGUUGAAGAUCAAAUUGCCAUUAGUUGCGCUUCGGUACUAAUAUGAGGUGAAAGUGUUUUUAUAGAUCCGACAAAGUAUAUCUUUCCAAGUGUUGUUUACUUGCCUUUGGUGAAGCCUCUAAAUGACAAUACCGUGGGGGUUUGUAAAUGAUUGAGUCCUGGUUUUUAUCUUCUGUGCCCUCCAGUGGUAUGGAAAAGUUGGACAACUUUUCCUACGAGUGAGUGCGUUUUCCUUCAGAAAUUGAAUUUUAUACAUCAAUACCAUUGAUACGGACAUCAUUAAAGUCAUCAUUGAACGUUGCAGUAUAUUCUACAUGUGUGUCAAGCGUUGUCACUUUUGAUAAAUUUGUUUGUUGUUUUUUCUACUGCUCCUAUUUCAAAAGUCGAGUAAAUAUUUUCUAAACUUGUCGAGACUAAAAGAAUAAUAAACUUUUUUGUUUUUUUUACGAUGCAUAUAGUUUUUUGCGUUAUCCAAACACUAUUCUCUUAUGGAAAUAUCGUGCAUUUGUAAUAGAGGAAAAAAAAAGAAGAGCUUGGUCACAUUAUCGCGACGGCCUUUUCACUCGACGGACAUAAAGAGCAAUGCCAGUUAAUUUUAAGUUCAACACGGGGAAAAAACAAGAGGUGAGGACACGAAAAAAAAAGAGCACCACAUGCCUAUCGAUAAAAGGAUAAAACACGGAGCCACGAGCCGUGCAGCCGGCGACCUGGAACGGAAGUGGGCGUGGAGGGGAGAAAAAGUGGAGCAGCGCCUGUAGUCCACACCACGAAGGAAUAAGCAGCUUUGGAAAACCAACAACAACGAAGACGACGACGGAUAAAAGAAAGCGGCAAAGGAGGGAUAAUGGAAAAGGGCUGGCGAUUAAUUACUGGCCACCCUGUGCUGGUGAAGUUUUCCACUCUGGCGUUGAUCCAUUGCCAGGUGGUGGCGAAAAGCAUACAAGAAUAGAGCGAGUGAAAAAGCCAACCAUACACAGAGAGGGUGGCGAGAUAAUGACCCGAGUAACCGCUGGACUCGCGGUGGCGUGGAAAUAUCUCUGACUUUUAACGAGACUCGUUAACCAAAGACAGCAGACAGUCCUUCCAACCGUCUAGGGGUUGAUUUGUUUUUUGUUUUUUGUUUUUUUCCUUUCCAACAAAAAAGUCCAAAUAGGAUAUUUCGUAGUAAAGGGUAAGACGAUGGGAAUCGGGAGAUAAGAGCUGCCACUGUGCGACAGAGCGAGCCGGGGACGCGGAAAGAGGCAGUGAAUCCCGACGUAAAAGCCGAGGGGAUUUUGGAGGGGGUCAUUCGAUUAGCCGGAGGAGACAGAGGAGCCUCGGUAGAGGGGAAAACGCGAAACGCUUGAAGGGUAGAUUAUUACGUGUACGCGGUGGCACGGGUCGCGGAGCUCGUGCGCUGCCUCGCUAAUGUAGAAUUUAAGAGAGAUAAUACAUAUACAUGUAUGUAUGUAUAUAUAUAUACCCAUGGAUAUAAUUUAGCAUUAAAAUGUACAAGAAUCUUCGUCCUAGUCCUUGUUGUUAUCAAUUCGAGUGUAAAUAGGGCACGAGGUAGUUGUCGUUGGUACUGCUGCCGGAGCGCGGGUCGCGUUGGUUUUUACACACUGGGGGGUUGUGGGGGAGCAAACAAGCACCGGGACUCUGUUGACUCAUUGUUUACUCGGCCGGUGGAUGUAUCGAAAGCUCGAUCGGUCAGACCUGCCGGAAGAGGGAGGGUGGGC
rnacentral:lncRNA from 1 species